AGUGAACGCUGGCGGUAGGCCUAACACAUGCAAGUCGAACGGCAGCACAGUAAGAGCUUGCUCUUACGGGUGGCGAGUGGCGGACGGGUGAGGAAUACAUCGGACUCUACUUUUUCGUGGGGGAUAACGUAGGGAAACUUACGCUAAUACCGCAUACGACCUACGGGUGAAAGCAGGGGAUCUUCGGACCUUGCGCGAUUGAAUGAGCCGAUGUCGGAUUAGCUAGUUGGCGGGGUAAAGGCCCACCAAGGCGACGAUCCGUAGCUGGUCUGAGAGGAUGAUCAGCCACACUGGAACUGAGACACGGUCCAGACUCCUACGGGAGGCAGCAGUGGGGAAUAUUGGACAAUGGGCGCAAGCCUGAUCCAGCCAUACCGCGUGGGUGAAGAAGGCCUUCGGGUUGUAAAGCCCUUUUGUUGGGAAAGAAAGGCAGCAGGUUAAUACCACGCUGUUCUGACGGUACCCAAAGAAUAAGCACCGGCUAACUUCGUG
rnacentral:rRNA from 1 species